UCAGUUUUUUUCUUCUCCGCAGCCGGCUUGGUGGAGAUUAGUUCUGAGACGGCACCCCAGUAAUUUAGUGGUGCCCUCGCAUGGAACUCUUCUCGGGACUCCAACGAUACCUGCAUGAGGAAGAGAGCUUCGACUUCGCGUUCCGUUUUGCAAAGAGCUCUCGUUUGUGCUCCUCGGCAGCGCAAAGAGUUUUUGCAAGCCUGUCCCUCUCGUCAUUCUCCUUCGCUUCUAAAGCUAGCGCGUUUUUCCUGGCAAGAAACCGAAUUUAAGAUGUGAUGGAUCGAAGGUAGCUGUGGCGGUGCUGGUGCUGAAGAUGUCCUGAGGAUCAUCAACGUCGUUUUUGUUUCUCUCGAGAAGAUCGUGAAGCUCCUGAACGCCACUGGUGGUGAAGCUCUUUUCGUUCAAGCCGCCGUCAUCCUCGGCAUCCCAGCGAGGAUCAAGAUCAAACGCCUCGGUGAAAGAAGCCGUCCGAAUUGCCUCUACUUCUUCACUCACCUGGAUCUUCUCCUCGUGCCUGUGCAACAUGCUGAUUGAAGGCGCUGCUCGCGACUGCUUCUCAAGGACAUCGUACGUAUCUUCCAUGCAUACGCUCGCCACGGUUGUGACAGUGAUGCUCUCAAAGCUGUGACAGACAGACGGCGGUGCUCGUGGAUCGAACUCGCCAUGGCGUUCCAUCGUAGCGUUUUCUACUCACUCAAACAGCUCCUCUUCCCGCGACCAAGAAGAAAACUGAAUGUCUUUCUUGGCAUGUUGGGCGAAGGAGAAGCUGAUUAACGAUAUUAAAUGGAAAGAUAAACAACAACAAUGAUUCAGUUCGA